CCUACGGGUGGCAGCAGUGGGGAAUAUUGCACAAUGGGGGAAACCCUGAUGCAGCGACGCCGCGUGAGUGAAGAAGUAUUUCGGUACGUAAAGCUCUAUCAGCAGGGAAGAAAAUGACGGUACCUGACUAAGAAGCCCCGGCUAAAUACGUGCCAGCAGCCGCGGUAAUACGUAGGGGGCAAGCGGUAACCGGAUUUACUGGGUGUAAAGGGAGCGUAGACGGCAGCGCAAGGCUGGAGUGAAAGCCCAUGGCUUAACCAUGGAACUGCUUUGGAAACUGUGCAGCUAGAGUGCAGGAGAGGUAAGCGGAAUUCCUAGUGUAGCGGUGAAAUGCGUAGAUAUUAGGAAGAACACCAGUGGCGAAGGCGGCUUACUGGACUGUAACUGACGUUGAGGCUCGAAAGCGUGGGGAGCAAACAGGAUUAGAUACCCCAGUAGUC
rnacentral:rRNA from 1 species